UACGUAGGGGGCAAGCGUUGUCCGGAAUCAUUGGGCGUAAAGAGCGUGUAGGCGGCUCGGUAAGUCCGCUGUAAAAGUCCAGGGCUCAACCCUGGAAAGCCGGUGGAAACUGUCGAGCUAGAGUCCGGAAGAGGCGAGUGGAAUUCCUGGUGUAGCGGUGAAAUGCAUAGAUAUCGGGAAGAACACCAAAGGCGAAGGCACCCUGCUGGGCCGGUACUGACGCUGAGGAGCGAAAGCGUGGGGAGCAA
rnacentral:rRNA from 1 species